UAGUUAAAUCUAUAUUUAAUUAUGUGAUUGAACAUUAAUGAACUUAAUACAUAUUUGUUUUAUGUUGUGUGAUUCGGUAUAAUUAAAAGAUGUUACAGUUAGGACAACAGAGAGUCCACCAUGCGAGUUAAAGAGCAAGAAUUUCAAAGGUGUUUGCUGGAUUUACAGCGUCUGUACAGCAGUAUGCACGAUGGAAGGUUUCCUUGAAAAACUGAAAAAAGAGGAAAGGGUAAACAAUGAUCAAAACAUAUAAAUGAUUAAGGUGAAGGUCAGCAUGGUCACAGGAAGAAGAAACCGCUGAUAUCAAUCUAAUGUACACAACUUAAUGAUAAAACCGGUGCCAAUCUUUUUUCUUCUUUUCUGGCAUAAAGAUGGCACAAGGUCCAAAGCAAAAACCAGCCAUUUAUCUUUUACCUCUUUUUUAUAUCUUUUACCGCUUUUUUAUAUCUUUUAUCUUCUUUUUUCUAUGAUAAAUUCAUACUCUAUUUGUUUCA